rnacentral:rRNA from 1 species
GGGGAAUAUUGCACAAUGGGCGGAAGCCUGAUGCAGCGACGCCGCGUGGGGGAUGAAGGCCUUCGGGCUGUAAACUCCUUUCGACAGGGACGAAGCUUUUGUGACGGUACCUGUAUAAGAAGCACCGGCUAACUACGUGCCAGCAGCCGCGGUAAUACGUAGGGUGCGAGCGUUGUCCGGAAUUACUGGGCGUAAAGAGCUCGUAGGUGGUUUGUCGCGUCGUCUGUGAAAUUCCGGGGCUUAACUCCGGGCGUGCAGGCGAUACGGGCUGACUUGAGUGCUGUAGGGGAGACUGGAAUUCCUGGUGUAGCGGUGAAAUGCGCAGAUAUCAGGAGGAACACCGAUGGCGAAGGCAGGUCUCUGGGCAGUAACUGACGCUGAGGAGCGAAAGCAUGGGUGGCGAACAGGAUUAGAUACCCUGGUAGUCCAUGCCGUAAACGGUGGGCGCUAGGUGUAGGGGGCUUCCACGUCUUCUGUGCCGUAGCUAACGCAUUAAGCGCCCCGCCUGGGGAGUACGGCCGCAAGGCUA